rnacentral:rRNA from 1 species
UACGUAGGGGGCAAGCGUUGUCCGGAAUUAUUGGGCGUAAAGAGCGUGUAGGCGGUCCGGUAAGUCAGCUGUGAAAGUCAAGGGCUCAACCCUUGAAUGCCGGUUGAUACUGUCGGGCUAGAGUCCGGAAGAGGCGAGUGGAAUUCCCGGUGUAGCGGUGAAAUGCGCAGAUAUCGGGAGGAACACCAGAGGCGAAGGCGGCUACCUGGACAAUUGCUGACGCUCAGGCACGAAAGCGUGGGGAGCAAAAGGG